GGAUGAACGCUGACAGAAUGCUUAACACAUGCAAGUCGAUGGGGAAGUGGUGCUUGCACCAUGGUAACCAUGGCGGACGGGUGAGUAACGCGUAAGGGACUUGCCCGCGGGACCGGGAUAACAGCAGGAAACUGCUGACAAGACCGGAUAAGGUCAUGGAGCCGCAUGGUUACAUGAUGAAAGGAGACGCCUGCGGAGAGCCUUGCGUCCUAUUAGCUAGUUGGGGGGGUAACGGCCCACCAAGGCGAAGAUAGGUAGCCGGCCUGAGAGGGUGGACGGCCACAAGGGGACUGAGAUACGGCCCUUACUCCUACGGGAGGCAGCAGUGGGGAAUAUUGGACAAUGGGGGCAACCCUGAUCCAGCAAUUCUGUGUGCACGAAGACGGUUUUCGGAUUGUAAAGUGCUUUCAGCAGGGAAGAAGUAAGUGACGGUACCUGCAGAAGAAGCGACGGCUAAAUACGUGCCAGCAGCCGCGGUAAUACGUAUGUCGCGAGCGUUAUCCGGAAUUAUUGGGCAUAAAGGGCAUCUAGGCGGCCUGACAAGUCAGGGGUGAAAACCUGCGGCUCAACCGCAGGCCUGCCUUUGAAACUGACAGGCUGGAGUACCGGAGAGGUGGACGGAACUGCACGAGUAGAGGUGAAAUUCGUAGAUAUGUGCAGGAAUGCCGAUGAUGAAGAUAGUUCACUGGACGGUAACUGACGCUGAAGUGCGAAAGCCGGGGGAGCGAACAGGAUUAGAUACCCUGGUAGUCCCGGCCGUAAACGAUGAUUACUGGGUGUGGGCAGGAAGACUGUCUGUGCCGAAGCGAAUGCGAUAAGUAAUCCGCCUGGGGAGUACGGCCGCAAGGCUGAAACUCAAAGGAAUUGACGGGGACCCGCACAAGCGGUGGAGCAUGUGGUUUAAUUCGACGCACGCGAGGACCUUACCAGAUCUUGACAUCCCGCGACGCCCAUGAGAUGGCGGUGCCUUCGGGAACGCGGAGAC
rnacentral:rRNA from 1 species